rnacentral:rRNA from 1 species
AAGCGCUUAGAGUUAGCCAUGCGGCCGGAACUCAGCCUUCGGGUGUACUUUCCGGUCGCAAGCCAGCAUUGAUUCGUGCCGCUGGAGAAGGGCGCUGGGAAUGUGGCAUCUCCGGGUGUGUUAUAGCCCAGUGCUGGAUACAGCGGCAUGGAUCAAGGAACGCAGCACGCCCUCGUGGCGGGUCUUCGGACACCUUCGUGCUUAGGAUGCUGGCGUAAUGGCUCUAAGCGG